rnacentral:rRNA from 1 species
UACGAAGGGGGGCUAGCGUUGCUCGGAAUCACUGGGCGUAAAGCGCACGUAGGCGGACUCUUAAGUCAGGGGUGAAAUCCUGGAGCUCAACUCCAGAACUGCCUUUGAUACUGAAGAUCUUGAGUUCGGGAGAGGUGAGUGGAACUGCGAGUGUAGAGGUGAAAUUCGUAGAUAUUCGCAAGAACACCAGUGGCGAAGGCGGCUCACUGGCCCGAUACUGACGCUGAGGCACGAAAGCGUGGGGAGCAACAGG